AGCGUUGUUCGGAAUUACUGGGCGUAAAGGGCUCGUAGGCGGCCAACUAAGUCAGACGUGAAAUCCCUCGGCUUAACCGGGGAACUGCGUCUGAUACUGGUUGGCUUGAAUCCGGGAGAGGGAUGUGGAAUUCCAGGUGUAGCGGUGAAAUGCGUAGAUAUCUGGAGGAACACCGGUGGCGAAGGCGGCAUCCUGGACCGGUAUUGACGCUGAGGAGCGAAAGCCAGGGGAGCAAACGGG
rnacentral:rRNA from 1 species